rnacentral:misc_RNA from 1 species
GAAAUGCAAUAAGUAAUGCGAUUUGCAGAAUUCCGUGAGUCAUCGAAUCUUUGAACGCACAUUGCGCCCUUUGGUAUUCCGAAGGGCAUGCCUGUUCGAGCGUCAUUAUCAACCCUCAAGCCUGGCUUGUUGUUGGACCCGGGACCCUUUUCAGGGUUCACCGGUCUCAAAGACAAUGACGGCGUCCGUGAGACCCUCGGUACAAUGAGCUUUCUGAGCACGUACCGCAGUGGGCUGGCGGACCCGGUCCUCCUUUUUCAAUUUCUAAGGUUGACCUCGGAUCAGGUAGGAAUACCCGCUGAACUUAA